rnacentral:misc_RNA from 1 species
AAAAAGGUUUUGAUAACUAUAUGGUGGAUCAGAGACAACUGGUGAUGAAGCUGUGAAAAGAGCAUAAUCAAGACGAAUUUGUCCUGAAUUGUCUUUAUAACUGAAGUAUGGAUACAAGUUGAGAAGCAAUGGGGAUUGGUUAUCCACUAGAAAUUUGAUGAGAGGAUCAAGAAUUGGUCGAUAUUCCUGCUUGAAAGAGCCUUUAGAGGGAGGGAAGGACUCUCCAAGGCUCCUGGUAUCAAUAGCACUAGAAACUUUAAUAUUCCCAAGACCAGCAGAAGAGAGUGCACUGCGAAUAUUUAUCAUGGCAGGGACUAGAAAUCGUGCAAAUGAAUCUGAGGGCAUGACCUCAUUUCCAACUGCAAUAUAACGAAAUCUAACAUCACCAAAGCUUUUUACAUUAUUUUGCACCCAUGUAUUUGCUUCGGCUUGAUUGGUAGCAAUCUUUUGAAGGUCAGUAUUUGGAACUCCAAGCAUGAGCUCGAUGUUGGAGCCUCUAAGGGCUUGCAGGGCAUUUGGGUUUGGGUCGUAGAGUCUCAUUCUGCGAAUGUUAUUUUGAUUGUAGAGACCUAUGACUUCCCCUGGCGGUGGCAGGUCAUUGCCAAGCAUUCCAUAGCAAACGCCUAUUUGAGCACCUGUUGUAUCAAGGCUAGCCAGUAGCAAACCAAUGAGUAGUGUUAAGGAGAGUGUGGAAGAGCAUUUGCCAAUUACAUAGGAACUUGCCAUCCUUAAAGAAACUAUAGAGAAUAAAAUUAAGGGAAUUAAGGGAC